UACGGAGGUGGCAAGCGUUGCUCGGAAUCACUGGGCGUAAAGGGCGCGUAGGCGGGGAGGUAAGUCGGGUGUGAAAUCCCUCGGCCCAACCGAGGAACUGCGCCCGAGACUGCUUCUCUUGAGUCCCGGAGAGGAAGGUGGAAUUCCCGGUGUAGCGGUGAAAUGUGUAGAGAUCGGGAGGAGCACCGGUGGCGAAGGCGGCCUUCUGGACGGUGACUGACGCUGAGGCGCGAAAGCGUGGGGAGCAAACGGG
rnacentral:rRNA from 1 species